CAGUUGUUUAUGCAGUGUUGAACUCAUUAGUGGCUUGUGCCCCUGAGCAUUUCUCAAUGCUAUUAAUAAUAAUCUUCAUGCAAAAUUUAUAUUUUUAAAACUGAGAGUGCUGAUAGCAAUUAAGCAAACCUCUCAUUAGGAACCACAGUGGCGUAAAGCCUCAGGAAGAGCAGGAGGAAGUCUCUUGAAGUGGAGAUUGUAGGGUUUUAGUCAGUCACCAUAUGUCGAUUUUAGUAAUUUUGCCUCAGAGUAAUGCUGGGCAUCCUUGGCAGAAUUAUAGUGCAAGCCUUACUCGUUGAAACCCCUCCCAGCACUGCGGCCAUGAGAACACCCCAAGUAUUUUAAGUUAGCUACGUAGGUCCUAUUCUUAACUUUUCAUCUCAUCAGAUACUUUUCUUAUUAGAGCUCGAGAGCCUUCCCUCUAAGGUAAUGAUGAUGUAUGUUAGGCCUCACUGUUCAAGUCCUAGCUUGUGCGUUUCUAAUGUGUUAUGACUGUGAUCCGUGCAAUAGCUGUGCUCAAGUCUUUUUGGGCCAUGUGACUUAAUGGCGGUUUUAAUUUCCUUCUUCCAGUCCCGUAGCCUGCUCGUGUGUAGGAAAUUGCUUUGUUUUUCAUGUUAAUUGAUAGCAUGACCUGUUUCAGCAAUUCACCAUCUCAAAGGUAUGUCUGAGAUCUCCGAAUGACUCACUGACAUAAAUGCACAUGAGCUAAAGCCACUUGUGUUACAGAAGGGCCGAAAGCCAAAGCAGAGUGUCUUGCUUUCCAAGAUAGCCUUUUAGCCUGUAGGACCGUGAGCCCUGUGGCCCUCUUUGUUAAUGACUGCAUUGAAGUCUUGUGGCAAAUGGUAGGUUGUAAGAGGCGGCCCGCAGGAAGAGUCAUGUUAAAUUCAUGGCCUCUAGCUCACUUGAUCAAUUGCGAGCUGGUAGACGUUUAUUUAAAAUUUAUACCACAUGAAUGUCUGAGGUAAUAGGUGAAUACUGUAAAGGGUUUAUUUAAAAAAAUAUUUUACCAGUAGGGUCUUUGGAGAUCAAAUAUUUCAUUUUCAAGGGUGUCCUGAGUAUUCAAAGAAGAGGAGGGGGAAGUAAAGAGGGAUUUGGAUAAUGCAAAAUACCACAAAAAGCAAGAUUUUCCAAGGAAAAACACCCAGGAAGCUUGGUAUGAGCAUUUAAUGUAUGCUCGAGUUUUUAAAAGGAAACAUUAAUGGUGAAACAUGCCCUCAAAGGACAAGCCAGCAAUAAAUUUUGUGUCACAAAAUUACCUGUCAGUGAGAUUAUGUUUAAAUAAAGUGGAAUUGUUCCUGCUUCUUGAGGGGUUGGGAGAAACUUCACGGGAGAGUGUUCAAAGUAUUCAGAAUUAUGUGCAGAAAUCCCAUUAACAAUAAUGGGAUUUGUGUGUUCAGCCCUACUCAAAUGGCAUUGAAAAAUGUGACUGUUGCUUGUUCUUCCCCAAAGCACAGAGAUAACAAGGGAGGAAUGAAAUCUAUAAUAUUUUUUCUCAAGAUUUUUUUUAUUACCUUCCAGACACAGAGUAUCUCACUAGUAGCCUGCAUGUACUUUAUCAUGAUUAAAGCCUACCAGCAAUUCUCUUUCUUUUUUUUCCCUUGGUCAAGGAUAGGGUGGGAAAUAGCGGCAACAACAAAAACCAAAUAGAUUUGAAGUGUCAGUGUUUCCAAAAUCUGUGACAACAGGGAACAUUAUUGCAUACAAAUUCAAUGAGACAGCAAACAUUUUGAAUCUCUGCAUACCAGUAAAGGAGUCUUGGUGGAAGGCAGAGGAAGAAAGGGUAAAAAUGCACAAUUAAGGCUUAAAUAUGACUGAACAUGUUGCCAUGGGAUUUGAUCUUAUCCUAUUUACAAGAGAAAACUUAUGACUCAUGGGUGCUAAAUGAUCAAGCCAUUACUCAUGUAUGGAGUAAAAAAAAUGGAUACCUUUUAUGGCAUUUUUAAAAAAUAAUGAUUACUUCCCCAUAUUUGUGAAUACAGAGACAUACUGCAGUUAUAAAGCUUACUGCAUGCUCAGCUUCUGUGCAGACUUUUUGAAACGUGUUUAGCAGUCACUGAUUUUUUUGCCCUCUCUUUAGAACUUUAUUCUCUGUCUUGUUCUUAUUGUCCAUGCUGACUUGUAACACUUAUUUCACAAAAUCACAGAGGUAUAGCCAAAGUCCAGGUAGGAUCCACCUAAAGAAUCCAUAGCACCAUUCAGGAGGGACAUGUAAAAGGCAUUUUGAGCCAUUUUCUUUCCAUUUAGCCUAGGAGGCUCUGCAGGACCCCAGCACUGUUGGUAGCCAGCGGUCUCCUGUGGAGGUUAUGAUACCGCUCACCACAUACUUUUCCUAUUGAAGGCUUUUCAGCUGUGCCUCAGGAGCCUAAAAGAUAUUAGCCUGGCCUUGCACCCUUCCAGGACACUCUUGACUCUGGGUUAUCACCUUGAGGCUAUCUGAUCCAGCUUUAGUUCUCUUUUUCCUGCUGGUUAGUGCUAAGUACAGUUGACACUUUUCUUUUAUCACUACCACUGCGUGCACUUACAGGGUUAUUAAAGGGUAAACACUUUAAUCUUUUUUUGAACUCUAGCUUUUUGUGCUAGGAGGGAUCCGUGCUUUUAUCACGGUGUAUGUAAAGCAUCAACCUUCUGUACUGCUAACCCUCCUAUGUGGGUUUUCAGAAGUGGAUGUAACCAUCAAUAGGAAAGAGGUAUCUGCAUACCAAGUUGUAAUCUGAUUCAGCGAUAGAGGAAUCUAAGAGUUUAGAUAGUGUAGACACAUUCUCAGAAAAAACAACUACACUUUGUGUAGUAGCUGGGCAGAUGUACAAAGAUGGAUUUAUUGGGUGGAGUAAUGGUAUUUUUAUUUCAUUUGAUGCAUGCUUUCUGUAGUACCAUGUCUCCUUGGAUGGUAAGUAAUUUUAUGGUGGCCCAAAUUGGAUUCUGCCUGAGCUUAAGAUCAGGGGUGCUCAGGG
rnacentral:lncRNA from 1 species